GCCUGGCUGGCUCAGUUGGCAGAGCACGCAGCUCUUGAGCUUGGGGUUGUGAGUUCAAACCCCAUGCUGGGCA
rnacentral:tRNA from 1 species